GCCAGUCGUCCUUCCUUUCGGGUCUCUCGAGUUCUAGGCUGAGAAGAAAAGUGGCCUCCUGUACAGCUUCGCCUUCUGGAGCCUCAGGCGGAACCGGGACUGCUGGGAAGCUGUGCGGGGGCGGGUCCAGGAAGCCCUGGCAACGGAGAUCUUCCCGGACGAGACAGAGCGACCGUUACUUCCCGGGCUGCUGUGGGUCUGGUGUCUGGCUCUGUGGCCCCGGGCUGCAGGGACAAAAGUGGCUGGUCUUCUAAGAGCACCAAGCUCAGCAAAGCCACCCGCUGCUGACAGGACCCAUGCGUUCAUUCCUACUCUUCUUUUGGUCUCACAAGAGCCACACUGCCCUUGGAAUGGGCGUCAAGUCACAGCUCGGCGCUUUCAUUUAGUCUUCUGCCAUCUCUGCCUGCUUUUCGGCCAUUUUCAUCCGAAGUGUGGAUCUGAAGCAAAGAAUCUAGAGAAGUUUCCUUCAUCUGGUUAUUAUUAUUUGCUGAAUUUUUUAAAAGAAACUUUUUAAUACAUUCUUCUUUGCUACAUUGUUCUAUAUGUAAUAAUUCAUUUGAAUUCCCUCAAAGGAACCACAUAGGAAAUGCCAGAUAAGCCCCUUUAAGAAGAAUGACGUGGGGUGCAAUGUUAGGUUGCCCUUGGCGUCAGAUAGCCUGGGUUCUGGGCCCAGUGUCCCCGCUUAGUAGCUACUGUGUGACCUAGAAGGAGAUUGGGCCAGUCUCCUUCAUAUACGUCCUUCUAAUUUAUUCCUGAAAUUACCUCAUUUGUUCUCUUGUUCACUUUCGGUCUCCCCACUCUAGAGACAUUGGCUUCUCAAGAGUGGGGGGACUCCUUCAGGGCUGUUCGCUGCAUUUAUAGAGCACAGACGAUUGACUCCCUGCCCUUGCUGGGCCUCAGUUUCCUCAAACACAAAUAGGCAUAAUAACAAUCCCUACCCACCUCAUGUUAAAUGGGCUUAAUACAUGCAGAAUGCACAGAACAGUGUCUGUCAUGUGGUAAAUCCUCAAGGAACAAUGAAUAAGGAUUAAAUUCUGCAUCCUCCCACAUGACUGAGAAAAGCCUGGUAGGAAAUCAGGUUAAUGGAGAGAAAAGACAGAGGGAUGAGAGCAGCUCGAAGGAGAUGAUCAUUUCUGCAGACACAGAACCCAAGUUGCCGUGUGAAAUGCUGUGUGGGUGAGCACAUGGAUGGCAUGCUGAUCACAUUUCCAGGCCACCAUGGGGCAGAAGUAGAGCUAAUAGACUGGAUGAAAGAAGAAUGAGCCAGAGCAAUGCCGACAGUCUGCAAAGCCAGGUCAAGUCAAGCAACCUGGAGCAUAACAGAGAAAUGCAAAGUCCAGCCCUUGGGUCCGGACAACAAGUUACACAACGAUGGCAGCAUCAUUGUAUGAGAUGCAGAGUUUGCUGUGGACUUGGGCCUAUACUGUACUUUGUUUAUAACUGUGAUUUUUACAAGGACAGAGUGAGGAGG